ensembl:lncRNA
AGUCCUCAGCUGCUUCUCCUGGGGACACAUUUGUUUGUGGCAGUUCAUAAUGCCAAAGGCCUUCCAGCACAAGUGGUUCUCCAUUGGGAAAAUGGCUUUCAAGAGCAGCGUGGCCAAGGGGACCGAGUUGGAUGGGAUGGCUAGAUGAUCUCAUCUCAUGUGUGUUAUUAUUGGGAAUACCAAAGUCCUCCAAGGAAGUGCAGAGGACACAGUAAUGUUCAGAAAAGCAGUCCAUCUGCCAGUGGCUACCCCUGCUCCAUGUGAUGGCACUUCCAAGCAUUCUCUAGCAAGGCUGCACAUGCUGCCUGCAGCAGACCUGCAGCACCAGCACACACGGUUCCUGAUCUCCACAGGUUCACAAGCAGCUUUUUCCCCAGAACUUUGCAGGAUUUGGGCAAUGCUGACAGUCUGUCGCUACAAAAUCUCUUUUGUUGAAGGGACAGUGGCAAUGCUGAUUAGAGAUUUAAGCACUUGGAUACCGAGGUGUGCGCUGUGCCUUCAGAAUGGAUUUUGGUGACUUAACGAAAAUGUUUGUGGAAUGAAUUUUCAACUUAUUUUUUUCCCUGGAACAAAUGCUUUAUUUUUGUCCUCUGCAACUUCCAUGUUUUUAAGGUUGUCUUAAUGCUUGCAGCUGCAAUGGAGACUUAAUGAAUGAAGAUUUCAGGGCUCCCUAUGGAAACACUGUAUUACCUUAUUGCUGCUGCUACUCCUCUAACCCAAUUCCCUGCAAUAGGAAAUGACUGCUCAGAAGAUAUGAUGUAUGAACUGUAACACAGUCAUCUAACAUUCCUAUAGAAAGCUUAGAUUAUUCUCUCUGAGCUAACUGUGUGAUAAAGGUUGGUCUCACAUUCAUUUAUCCACAUAGCAAAUUCAGGCUGGAGCAGUAAGAUUUUGGGUUCUAACUGCAUGAAGAAAGCUGGGAAAAUAGGAGCAUUGCAGAGGGGCCACCAGGCAGGUUCUCACCUCUGGGAGGAGGUAUUUCAAUGGCCUCUGCACUCAGUCUCAGCUCCCUGGUUUGUGCAAUCCCUGAGCCUGUUAUCUCCCAGCAUAGCUGAAUGUCAAUUCCUGAAAAAACAUUGGAUAAUGCAAACGUAUUUAGUAAUGAUGAGCCAUUCUGAAUUCUCUAAGAGUCAUAAACAUGUUUGUUUUAUCAAGAUAGGGUAGGGUUUGUAGUGCAAUAGAAUGAUGAAAACAGCCUGGAUUAACAACUCUUCUCAUCUCCUGCUCUGACAGCCCCUUUCUCAAAGCACCAGUAUUACCCACUUAGAAAAUGGAUUUAUGCCAACGUUUAAAGCACUGCUUUUUCUUUCAGCACACCAGAUGGUACUAAAAAUUCAAAAUAUUUCCUACAACAGCUGUAUCUUUGACAACAAAAUUAAUAUAAGCAGAAAUACCAUUGCUGCAUGUAGACUGUAAUGGCCAGAUUAUUCAGUUUUAAGUCUAAUGUAGAAAAGCAUUCUAUAGUUAAAAAAAUAGAUCGGAUCAACUAAUAUUGCACCGAUCAUGUGACUCUGUCUGGGUUUUCAAACCAGAUGCAAAAUUUAGUGCCUUUAUAAUUUAACAGCUGGUCUGAUAAGAAUGCAAAAUACACCUUUCCCUAGAGCUAUAAUAAAUGUGUUAACACUUUCUUACAACCAGCCCUUUCCUACAACUCAUCAUUUUCUUGCCCCAAGCUCUGUCUUUAUGUAUUUGAUGACAUAAAUCUUGUAAGCAGGUUUGGACCAGAAGCUAACUUCCCUUACUCUGAUAUGUGGACAACAAUGUGUGUUUUUUCCUUGGCAUUUAAGGUGGGGGAGGAUGAGGAGUAUUUUCAAUUAAGGAAAAACAAACGAAAAAAUGCAAAUGACAUGCUUGCUAUUUCCAUCUCCUUAACAUGAAUGUGUGCAGUAGGGUUUUUUAAUGAUCUAUUUGUUAGAUCAUUAGAUAGAUCAUUAGAUAUAAGGUAAGAAACUCUCCAAGUUUUAGUAUUUUCAACAGCUUUGGCAUGCCCUGAGCAGUGAGCAAAAAGGACAGGAAGCAUGAAAACGAAGCUCAAGCCAAGUAAUUUGCCUAUCAAAAGGGUGCAAUCUUCAAGCAACGUAAUGAACACAAUUUUGUUAUCUCUAUAUUUUUCUACAUAUAUGUGAACUUUCUUGAUUCAAGCAUGUGAAUAUCUGGAAAAAAAAAAAAUCAGUUAAGUAACAGUGCUGUGAAGAAAGAAAUGACCAUCAGCUUUAGCUGGAGAGAGGUUGGGCCAUCUAGUGGCUACUGGCACUGGACUCCAUGUAAGAUGGAGCAACUUCAUGUCCCUUCUGUCACACAGUUGUGAGACACUGAGCCAUCUCAGCACAGACCUUUACAUCUCCAACUUUUCUAAGGGACAUGGGGGAUCUAUCAUGGAAAUAGAUGCUAAAAGCCCAGCACCUCAUCUCUGGAUGCCCGUUUCCUGGCCAGACAUUGCCUGUGGCAGGUGAACAUCACCUUCUACACAUCUGUUUGUUUGGCUCUCUCCUGCCAAGCACAGACCCCUGCUUUCCCACUGGUGCCUGCCCUGCACGAAGCACUCCUCUCAUUUUCCUGCAAUGCAGUUCUCACCUUCAUCUGUGGGAUUCCCUUUCCUCCUGUACUCUAUUCCUCACUGUGUGCUUGCACAAGGCAUCUGGCACUGAAAUGAUGCUACUGGCCUGGCAUUGUCAUGCUUGGACACAGUGAGUGAGGUAUUAUUAAUUGUGGAGAUAGCACUACAGCUAUUUUUAACCAUUUUCCUUUUGCACAGCUGCAAUGCUGUCAUAUUAGUUCAGCAUACUUGAAAGUUAACAUUCAUGAAGCAAAGAAUGAAGGGUUAUGAUUUUAAAAACUCUCGAGAGUUCGUUAACAUUUUUAAAAGUGAGACAAAUUAUUUUGGAAUGUGCUUUCUUUAGAAAUUUGCAUUCCCUGCACUCAGCUGCAUUACAGAUACAAGGUGAGCGUGAAGGAUCAUAAAUCAGAUGGAGGUGGAGAAACAGGACAGCUCACAUCACUCAGAGCUCCCUACAUGUUCCUCCUCAGGCCCACAUACUGCCCCAUGACCUUGCAAGAACAAGACCACGGUGGGAAGCUGGGCAAUAGUCAUGCUUCUUGUCUUACGAAGACAUCUCAUUAAAAUCAUGUGAAGAUAGGACUGAUGAUAGCUAUUUUUUGCUAAAUAUGAGUGCUCCCAUUGCGACUUUUUUGUUAUUUUUGCCCUUCAACAAAUAUACUGACAAAACUAAUGGUCGGAGAGGCAUCAGGAAAAUGUAUGUGACAUUUGCAAACAUGAACAGAUUUUUUUACUGAACUUCAGGCUCUAAAUAUCACAAGGGUGAUGAUUUUGCCUCUUCUCAAAUACAGUGUGUCCCCACAGCUGCACGCUUGAUGUCAGGAUGACUUCUAUAUGCUGGUGAACACCUAAGCAAGGUCAUAAGUGGAACAGGUGCCUCUGAUUUACACUGAAGUCUGAGCUGACCCUGGAGGCUUAGAGUCAUCCUGGUUUUCCUUCCCCCGUGGUGUCAUGUAGCCAACCAAUGGACAAUCCACUGUGAGGACCCCUUUUAACUCUAGUGAAGUAAUGUUAAAGCUAUAUU